UUGAACGCUGGCGGCAGGCCUAACACAUGCAAGUCGAGCGGUUGAGAGUAGCUUGCUACUUGAUGCAGCGGCGGACGGGUGAGUAACGCGUGGGAAUCUGCCCAGUAGUGGGGGACAACAGCCGGAAACGGCUGCUAAUACCGCAUACGCCCUACGGGGGAAAGGGGGGGAUCUUCGGACCUCUCGCUAUUGGAUGAGCCCGCGUCGGAUUAGCUAGUUGGUAGGGUAAAGGCCUACCAAGGCUACGAUCCGUAACUGGUCUGAGAGGAUGAGCAAUCACACUGGAACUGAGACACGGUCCAGACUCCUACGGGAGGCAGCAGUGGGGAAUAUUGGACAAUGGGGGAAACCCUGAUCCAGCCAUGCCGCGUGUGUGAAGAAGGCCUUAGGGUUGUAAAGCACUUUCAGUGGGGAGAAAGGUUUGUCACCUAAUACGUGAUGAAAUUGAUGUUACCCACAGAAGAAGCACCGGCUAACUCCGUGCCAGCAGCCGCCGUAAAAC
rnacentral:rRNA from 1 species